rnacentral:sRNA from 1 species
UUUGUUGUUUUAUUACAUAUUAUUAGUAAAUAUUUGCUACUAUUUUGUAUGUGUAUGCAGUUUUCUCAACUAUUGAAACCGUUCUUACUAUUGAACUGCCGGUCAAUAGACUGCGAUCUAUUGGACAGGCAACGUAUUUCAGAAUGCGGGUAUGUUAAGGCUUCCCGAUUGAUUUCACAGCGAUUUGUAGAAAGUCACUUGUCUGUACGUCAUGAUAUGAGGUCAUAAUUAACUUUGACCUCACGAUAUGCUUCCUUCGAUAUAUCUCUGAGAAUGUAUCGUUACGUUAUAAGUGAAUUUUAUUGACUCGGCCUCGGGCAAUUAUAGAUCGUACUGUUCCCUGCACAUCGGGAAAAAUAUUCGGGUCUAUUGACUACUCAAGCAUUAAAGAAUUGUUUAUACUUACACAGUUAGAUAAUGUGCAGAAUAUUUUUAUUUUAAUAUAUUUGAAUGUAUUAUAUGUGUAUCUUACUUUUAAUCACACAUUAUACAGAGAUAUUUAUUCAGUGUUUCAAGAUGGUAAUCUUUGCUGUGAUAAAAUACUUAAUAUUCUUAUUUUUUGUUAUAUAUACAAAGAAAGUGGUUUAAUUUGACAAAUUUUGUUACACUUUGUUGAUUUUCUUCCUAUUUCGUCUUUAUUUAUGUUAAACAAUUGAUUUUAAUAAAGAGAAAAUAUUGCAC